UGGCACCCGCAGUGAUGGUUUUCUGUGACCCGCAUAGCAACCCGAGGAGGAGGAAUUGUUAGGAUUUCCAUUUUACAGCUAAGAAAAUCGAGGCACAGCUGUUAAGUAAAAUGCCCCAAGCCACAGCUGCUUAGAGCCAGUCCACUGGCCCAGAUCUCAACCUUUGAACCACGAUGCUGAUGCAGCAGGGGCCAAUCCCUCAGCCUCCCUAGGCCUCAGCUCUUCCAUCUGUAAAAUGGAGUCAUAGCAUAUUCCUCAAAGGGCUGUUUUAGAGGUUUGAUGGCAUCCUAAUUUCGGAGUCCGGCAUAGCACCUGCUGUGUAGCAGGUGCUCAAUGAACAUGUACGCCUUUCCUCUUCUGUUCUCUCUGCAAUGAGGUUGAAUCCCCCAGUCUCACCUGGCUAUGACCCAACAAAGUCAGGCUCUAUGACUGGUUUGAAUGGAGGUUUGAGGUGGAGGGGAGGCCCCAUAGGAAGCACCAUGUACCCCUGCCCCUGGCUAGAGGGUCUGGCCACUCCCCUUUCUACCCACACCCUCUGUGGGCCACCUAAUGUGGGGAGUGGGAAUACCACCCUGCAGACCCCUCUUUUCUCUGGCCACAGGCAGCUAGUCCCACGUCCAGCCUGCCAAAGCCCUCUGCAGCCCCCACCCCUGCCCGCCUCUACUCCCAGGAGUGGAGGGCUCUCUUUGCAGGAGCCCAGAAGUUCAUUUCCUGUUCCAGCAGCUCCUGAGGUUGGGUCUCCCAUGGCUGCAGCUGGCUGA
ensembl:lincRNA